CCUUCCAUACCUCCAAAACCACUUAUAUCCUAUCUCGAUUUUGCUGAACAAAAUUUACAUUAUUAAGCUAGAUAUGAUGCACUAUUAUUAACUACUAGGAGAUCAAUACACCUAUUAUUAAUUAACUACUAGUAAUUAAUUAAUAUAAUAGCGGUGUAAUUAAUUAACACAACCCUCUUAUUCAUUAGUAGCUUCAUCCUUAGACUUAGCCGAAGAACAACUCAAUCUGCUGAACCAAUCUCCAUCGUUUGCACGCACGCUCGCUCGCAGCUAGCUAGACAUGGCGGCGCGGCGAGCUCGACCUUAGGCCGUGGCCGUGGCCGGAGCCAGAGACGGAGCCGGCG
rnacentral:lncRNA from 1 species